rnacentral:rRNA from 1 species
CGAAGGCCCUAGCUUGCUAGGUGUCCUUAGUGGCGGACGGGUGAGUAACGCGUGGGAACCUGCCUUUGAGUGGGGAACAACAGUUGGAAACGACUGCUAAUACCGCAUACGCCCUUUGGGGGAAAGGCUUCGGCCGCUCUUAGAUGGUCCCGCGUCUGAUUAGCUAGUUGGUAAGGUAACGGCUUACCAAGGCGACGAUCAGUAGCUGGUUUGAGAGGAUGAUCAGCCACACUGGGACUGAGACACGGCCCAGACUCCUACGGGAGGCAGCAGUGGGGAAUAUUGGACAAUGGGGGAAACCCUGAUCCAGCAAUGCCGCGUGAGUGAAGAAGGCCUUAGGGUUGUAAAACUCUUUCACUGAUGAAGAUGAUGACGGUAAUCAGAGAAGAAGCUCCGGCUAACUCCGUGCCAGCAGCCGCGGUAAUACGGAGGGAGCUAGCGUUGUUCGGAUUUACUGGGCGUAAAGCGCGCGUAGGCGGCGUAUCAAGUUGGGGGUGAAAGGCCUGGGCUCAACCCAGGAACUGCCUUCAAUACUGAUAUGCUAGAGUCCGGGAGAGGGUAGUGGAAUUCCAAGUGUAGAGGUGAAAUUCGUAGAUAUUUGGAAGAACACCGGUGGCGAAGGCGGCUACCUGGCCCGGUACUGACGCUGAGGUGCGAAAGCGUGGGGAGCGAACAGGAUUAGAUACCCUGGUAGUCCACGCCGUAAACGAUGAGUGCUAGAUGUCGGGCAGCAUGCUGUUCGGUGUCGAAGCUAACGCGUUAAGCAUCCCGCCUGGGGAGUACGGUCGCAAGAUUAAAACUCAAAGGAAUUGACGGGGGCCCGCACAAGCGGUGGAGCAUGUGGUUUAAUUCGACGCAACGCGCAGAACCUUACCAGCCCUUGACAUACCGGUCGCGAUUAGUGGAGACACUUUUCUUCAGUUCGGCUGGACCGGAUACAGGUGCUGCAUGGCUGUCGUCAGCUCGUGUCGUGAGAUGUUGGGUUAAGUCCCGCAACGAGCGCAACCCCCGCCUUUAGUUGCCAUCAUUAAGUUGGGGGUACUCUAGGGGGACUGCCGGUGACAAGCCGGAGGAAGGUGGGGAUGACGUCAAGUCCUCAUGGCCCUUACGGGCUGGGCUACACACGUGCUACAAUGGCGAUGACAAUGGGUCGCGACCUCGCGAGGGGAAGCUAAUCUCAAAAAAUCGUCUCAGUUCGGAUUGUUCUCUGCAACUCGAGAGCAUGAAGUCGGAAUCGCUAGUAAUCGCGUAUCAGCAUGACGCGGUGAAUACGUUCCCGGGCCUUGUACAC